AAUGAUGAGUUUUCAAUAACAGUGAAAUGUUAAAAAGCACUAUUUAAAAAUCUGUAGCAGUACAAUUACUUCAUAAUUAAAAUUAUAGCCUAAAAUAGAAUCAUUUAAUGCAAAAGUAGCACUAUUAGUUUGGGGGACGUCUGCAUAUUGUGGGCUUGGAGGCACCAUAUUUCUAUAUCCGCUGCCAGUCGGCGGAUUUAGAAAUAUGGGUACUUCGAUCUGCCUCAGCCAAUUGUUGCUACGCGAUAAUUACAUUUUUAACAAUAAUCUGGACCUAAUUAUCGAAGAAAUAACCGUUAUAUUCUAUUAAUAAAUAUGCAGAUCUUUAAAAUAAUCUUGUUUAUUUCGUGUUUCGUAAAUGCAAGAUCUUAUUUUCCAUCGUUUAAGAUUGGAAGCUCCAAACUUUUAAAUGAAAAAUAUAAUGAAGUUAAUCAAAAAGAUAAAGAGCACAUAUAUGCAAUGGGAUUUUGGUCGUGUCCAGAUGAACAUAACGAAAAAAGUUACACCACCGCUCAGAAGAGAGUACCAACAUUAUUGAGAGCAGAUAAUGUGUGUAAACAAGAUGAAGGAUUUGCAUCAUCUCUCUUCAAAAAUUUAUUUACUUUUCUUUAUAACAUAUGUCGAUGGAUCCUAUCUAUCCCAUUAAUGAUUUUCAAAAUUAUAAUUUUAAUUUUUAAAGCCAUUUUCCUUAAUAUUUGGCUAUGCAUAAAAACAAUAAUUACUUCGUUUAUUUGUUUUUUUAUGAAUAUAUUCAAUGCAAUUAUUGAUUUUAUUAAAAUUUGCGCAUCUGCAUUGAUAUGUCCUUUCAAGAUGUUAAAGGACCUUUUAUGUAAAUGUUCGACUGAAAAUAUUGUCGUAAACAAGCAAUCAAGAAGUUGCAGUUUUAAUUUUUGAAAAUCUUAAAUUAUACCAUUGCA